rnacentral:rRNA from 1 species
UACGUAGGGGGCUAGCGUUGUCCGGAAUCAUUGGGCGUAAAGCGCGUGUAGGCGGCCCGGUAAGUCCGCUGUGAAAGUCGGGGGCUCAACCCUCGGAUGCCGGUGGAUACUGUCGGGCUCGAGUGCGGAAGAGGCGAGUGGAAUUCCUGGUGUAGCGGUGAAAUGCGCAGAUAUCAGGAGGAACACCAAUUGCGAAGGCAGCUCGCUGGGACGUUACUGACGCUGAGACGCGAAAGCGUGGGGAGCAAACAGG